GACGAACGCUGGCGGCGUGCUUAACACAUGCCAGUCGAACGGAAAGGCCCUGCUUUUGUGGGGUGCUCGAGUGGCGAACGGGUGAGUAACACGUGAGUAACCUGCCCUUGACUUUGGGAUAACUUCAGGAAACUGGGGCUAAUACCGGAUAGGAGCUCCUGCUGCAUGGUGGGGGUUGGAAAGUUUCGGCGGUUGGGGAUGGACUCGCGGCUUAUCAGCUUGUUGGUGGGGUAGUGGCUUACCAAGGCUUUGACGGGUAGCCGGCCUGAGAGGGUGACCGGCCACAUUGGGACUGAGAUACGGCCCCGACUCCUACGGGAGGCAGCAGUGGGGAAUAUUGCACAAUGGGCGGAAGCCUGAUGCAGCAACGCCGCGUGCGGGAUGACGGCCUUCGGGUUGUAAACCGCUUUCGCCUGUGACGAAGCGUGAGUGACGGUAAUGGGUAAAGAAGCACCGGCUAACUACGUG
rnacentral:rRNA from 1 species